rnacentral:rRNA from 1 species
UACAGAGGUCCCGAGCGUUGUUCGGAUUCAUUGGGCGUAAAGGGCGCGUAGGCGGUGUGUCAAGUCAGGCGUGAAAGCCCCGGGCUCAACCUGGGAACAGCGCUUGAGACUGGCACGCUCGAGUUCGGGAGAGGAUGGUGGAAUUCCCAGUGUAGAGGUGAAAUUCGUAGAUAUCGGGAGGAACACCAGUGGCGAAGGCGGCUUUCUGGCCUGUUCUUGACGCUGAGGCGCGAAAGCUAGGGGAGCGAACAGG